ACCACCGUCUACUCCUCUUCCUCCGUCGUCUCGUCUUCCCCUUUCUUUGCUAGAAAAUCUCAAAUAUCCGUAACCCUAAAACCCAACCGCCGCUAUAAAGUAUCAUGCAAAACCAUAGACGGUGAAAAAAACCCUAGCACCACCUCCAAAAAAUGAAAAAACAAAUAUUUCUCUAGGGAAUUAUAAUAAUAAGUUUGAUAGGAGAGAUUUGCUUAUUGGCUUAGGCGGAC
rnacentral:lncRNA from 1 species